AGCGAACGCUGGCGGCAGGCCCAACACAUGCAAGUCGAACGAACUCUUCGGAGUUAGUGGCGGACGGGUGAGUAACACGUGGGAACGUGCCUUUUGGUUCGGAAUAACUCAGGGAAGCUUGUGCUAAUACCGAAUGUGCCCUUCGGGGGAAAGAUUUAUCGCCAUUAGAGCGGCCCGCGUCUGAUUAGCUAGUUGGUGAGGUAACGGCUCACCAAGGCGACGAUCAGUAGCUGGUCUGAGAGGAUGACCAGCCACACUGGGACUGAGACACGGCCCAGACUCCUACGGGAGGCAGCAGUGGGGAAUCUUGCGCAAUGGGCGAAAGCCUGACGCAGCCAUGCCGCGUGAAUGAUGAAGGUCUUAGGAUUGUAAAAUUCUUUCACCGGGGACGAUAAUGACGGUACCCGGAGAAGAAGCCCCGGCUAACUUCGUG
rnacentral:rRNA from 1 species